rnacentral:lncRNA from 1 species
GUACAGUUGUGCCAAGUGAGUGCUGGGCACCUGGCAGGCAAGCAAAAUGCUAAGGUGGCAUGUCAUGGCUGUCAGUGUGGCUCCUGUUCAGAGCUUGGAUCCAGCACUGGCUUCUUAAGAUUGGGCAAAUUACACAUAAAGGGAUGGGCAAGCUCUGCCUGACCAGAAUAGUGUUCACUGAAUUCUGGAGCAUUCUCAAACCUACUGCACAAAACCACCAUAGCAGGAGAGAGAGAGAGAGAGAGCUGGUUGGAGGAAGUGCAGGGCGGGAGCUGGGAAGUGGUUUCUUUGUUCUGGGAGAUUUCAGCCGGCAGGAACCGCAAAUUUUACUGUCUCCAAACCAAAAGCCCUCCCCCCUCCCCCAUUACCUCUUUCCUUUACAACCUGGGAAUUCAUUCGCUGCCUCCCUCGGCCUCUUCCUCUGCCUAGAGCAGUCUCCAGGGACAGAUCUCUUUGUUGAGUACUCUUCGAGACAAUUCAGAGUUGCAAAGUUCCCGGGUCACAGCCAGGGCUGUUCUCUGAAGAUAGUGGUCUCUCGGGUACAGACCCCCACCUGUGGAUCUGUCCCUUCCUGGGGUAUCUUUCAAGGGACAGAAGAGAAGAUGUUAAUUUGGAUGGAAUUUUUAUCCUUUGGAAAUUCACAGGUGGAAGGAAGACUUUUGAACUGUAUGUCACCGGCUCUGUGCCCAUGGGAGUGAAGCUGUUCGUGGAAGUGUGCACCCAGGAGUCUUUGGUGUUGACCAAUAUCCCAUACCGUGAAGUCAUCAGUGCUGGCCUCGAAGUCUCAUGAUCAGAUACUCUCAUGCACAAAACCAAUGUCUUCCCAAGUCCCUGUGGAUCAUAUGCUUCUGGCUAUGACAUAUUCUAUAAAGCUGUGGGGUGCACUUUGAGGCUACUGCUUAAGUGAUACUCAUUUGGAACAAAAGUAGGGGAGAAGAGAGAACCCUGAGGAUGGAAGCAUGUCUCAAAACAAUAAAAGGAAGAGAAAGAAAGCUGAGAAUCCCUGGGAUCUGCAAGAAGAAGGGAGAAGUCACAGUAAGUGUGCUGUCCAGAUCCCAGACCCUGCGUCUCCUCCAGAACCUGCCAAUGCCAUCGAUUUCUAUUAAUCUGAUGGAGCAUUCAUUACCCCAACAACCAACCUGCCACUGUUUGCUUAGCUUGCAUGAAAUCAGAGCUCCACAAAAAUCAAUGUGUGAAAUCUUUGUAUCAACAUAUAAGAAAUCCAAAGGUUUGUGCUGGUGGUAGCAGGAUUUUAGACAGAUUAAAACUGACAAACUGGCAUGUUCCGUGGUGGUGGCAAUGAUGAGGUGUGGCACCGUGUCAAAGGUUUGGAAAACAGCCUGCUAAGAAAGAAACGAAUGACUGUUGCAGGGGAGGGAGAAUGAUGCAUCUGGAUUAUUGAGAGGACAUUUGGAUGAUGUUCUGAUGGCUUAUGUUUCAGAAGCGACUUGAAAUCAGUAGGGAGAUUUCAAGCUCUGGCAGAGCACAGCUGUCCCCUAGGAACUCAUGAGUAAAGAUGAGCGGUUAAUGGCUUGAGCAAGGUCACCGUGGGCAGAGGUUAUGCCAGGACAAAAUGGUGGAACCUUGGUACGUACUUUCAGCAGUCACUGAACAUGCCACAGGCAGAGGACUCACGUCUUAUUGGUCCCAUAGCCUCUUAUCCCAAAAAGUGAGAGUGGGGACUCUUUCCAUUCAAACAUCUAGACGCCUGUGUGAGGAUCUUGCUUCCUCAGGAGCCUAAGGAGGGUGCAGGACUAGAAGUUCCACACGGCUAACUCUGUGCACUUCAAUUUGUAAGACACGUCUUCACCCUGACCUCAAGAGUCCUGUAAACAAAGGCAAUGGCUAACGUAAUGAAGAAGAAAAAACCCCUUUGAAAAGCCUCCUCUCAGCAUCGAAGCACAGCAUUCCAAAACCGUGACAGAAUUUUUUUUUUUUUAAUUUUGAUUCCCAUGUCUCACAACAUACUGUAGGCCAUCUGCUUCCAAUAUCAGGGGCCGUGGAGUGUAUGCUUCAGGAAUGAAACUCUUCCUUUAAGAAUAGUAGCCAAGAAAGGUAACUAGCUUGCUCAGGAGGGAAAAUAAAUCCCCAGCAAAAAGUCAACAGUGGGCCUGGGGAUGUAGCACUGUAGCUGAAUGCUGCAAUGAACACCACUCACUAGUGCUGAAAAUAAAAGCCGACAGUACACAUGUGUCAAAAUCAAACUGAAAUAAACUGGGGUGAAGCAUGGAAGACGAUGUAGAGGAAAGAGGCAAAGCAAUGGACUCAGGCUUGAGUUUGAAUCUUAUACCUGGCACACACUGGUUGUAUAUUAAUCAGUGUAGGACUCUAGAGGAGUUUUUUUUCUUCAUUUGUAUUUGGUGAGAAAAAAGGUAUGAAAGGUCUAACACUUUGUCUAAGACACAGUCAGUAGACUGUGUGUGUUUUUCUAUCAGAUCAUUUGUCUAUGCCCACUUCUCUAAAAAUGUACAUUCUAGAAACAAGAUGGUUGGAAACACAUUGACUAUCAAUGGAUGCAUGGUACAUCCAAGCCAAAACUUUUCACUUCCCAGAGUAAUAGGGCACAGCUGAGUAAGUACAGCUGACAAAGGUCUGUUGUCACUUGUCACUGUCACUUGACGGGGUGAGUUGUCAUUUGCCAUUGGCUGACAGACCAGCAAACCCUUGUCUGGUUGGUUCCUUUUGUGAUGGGUGUCAGUUUGGUUACCUGUCUACCAACACAAUAAAAAUCACCAGCAAACUUAGUAAUGUAACCAAGCUUGUUUACAAAUUUGUAAUUUGGGUAGGACUUAGACAGGAAACCUUACCUCAGUUCUGUUCUGUGCCACACAGGACUCAUCAACUAAAUGCAUAAAUUUAGUCCUGCUCCAUCAUGUCUUCCUCAGAUAGUUAGUAACAUGGCAAUCUAUAUCGACAGGGAGCUCAGCUGAAGCCCAUUUCUUUCAGCAUGGUCCUGUCUAUGUGGAUAGCUAGUUUUUCUACAGUGUAACAGCAAGCUUACAAUGGCCACAUCUUGAGACAAAGAGAACCAGGUAUACUUGUAUUGCUGUCUCUGACCUGCCCUUGAAGGUCAUAGUACCCUUUGGUCAUACACCAUAAGUUGAAGCAGUCACAAAGGCUUGCCCGGGUUCAUGAGAGAAGACAUAGGCUCCACCUUUUAUGGGAAACUACAUGUUUCUGGAGGACUGACCACGGGAAAUGUUUCUGUACAAUGCCGAUGGGCAUGUAAUCUGCCAUGCCUCUGAUUAGCACUUAACCCAAAGCUUUAUUGCUACCUUCCCAGAGCCGGGGCUUGCUUCCUCCUCUUCAUUUGGUUUUCCAGUUGAUCUCUUCUUACACCCUAGAAUAGUGAAUUCCAAUCUAAAAGUGGGAAAGAAAAUUAUGACCAUACCCCUAUCCUGUUUUUUUGUUUUUGUUUUUGUUUUCUGUCAACUUGACAAAACUGGAGUCAUCUGGGAAGAAGAACCUCAUUUGGCAAAAUUCCUUCAUUCAGAUUCCCAUAGGCAUGUUGGUGGGGCAUUUCCUUGAUUCAUGAUUGAAAUGUAAGGGCCAAAUCCACUAGUGGAUGUGGUAGCGACACUCAUGAUGGGUGGUUAUAGUCAGUAUAAGAAUGUGGUCCAAGGAAGCCAUGGGGAACAGUCUUUCUUCAUGUUCUCUGCUUCUGUUCCUACUUCCAGAUUCCUGUCUUUAGUUGUUGUUCUUACUUCACUCAGUAAUGCACUGUGACAUGGAACUGAAAGACAAAUAAACCCUUUCCUCCCCAAGAUGCUCUUGGACAUAGUAUUAAUCACAGCAAUGGAAAGCCAACUAAGACAACCCCAAUCUCAACUUCUUUCUAAAACCUUCUAUGACUUCUAAUGUACAUUGGAAUAAACUUUAAACCUCUUAAUCCAAGUACUCAGUGGUCCCAUGUUUUAUGAUAUGGAUGCAACUUUGAAGCCCGUGCUCAUCUAAGCCAACAUAUGCAUACUAACAGCUCAGUGAAUUGUAUUGUAUUUUGCAGAGGUAAAUUCGUGAGACCAAAAAGCCACAGUCCUCCUAUGCUUCAGAGCCCAUCAGACCAUGGUUAAAGUCACAACUCUACAUUAAGCUUCUAAAAAUGAGUCUAGAAGCUCUGUGUUGAAAUUGCUGAGAGGAUUGACUAAAAUAAUGCACACAAUACCUGGUACAGAGUGGACUUUCAAUAAACAUGAUUAUCUCUCUCCUUUUUUCUAUUUUGUCAUCUGUAUUUGGGGAAAUCCUUUCCUAGCAGGCUCUGGAUUGGAUUCCCAGACCAGAGCCCCUGUGUGCCUCUAGCAGUCCAUGCAGGAGCUUUCAGGGUGAUGAAGCCUGUGAAACCCUCUGGCUUCAUUUCACUAGCCACAGAAACCCACAUCAUGACUUGGCAGCAUGGAAGCACAGGCUGUAUUUCCCACAAUCCUUUAGUCUGGGCACCUUAACCAGCUUAUCAUUUGGCCACAAGAAGUGCUGCAUGCCUUUGGAAAUAAUUGUGGCCUUGUGGUUUGCAUUCCACAGAUCCACACUGGGUUGGGCAAAUGUCAAAAGCUCUUUUGCCACAGUCCAUAUGAGCACCCAGUGGUUUCCCUCUCUGGCUCCUGAGUGUUUAAAGCUUAUUUAAAAGUUUCCCACCAAUUCUAGAAUCCUUUCUUGCUACUUCUGCUAUUCUGCCAUAUCAGUACACUUAUUAAUUCAUUUAAAUGUAUUCCUUUCAAAUUGGAUUUCCAUUUAGUAGAUGAUUUACUUAAUCAAUAGGAAGUGUCCAAAAAUUGCAACAGCCCCAUUUCCAAUAAUUUAUGGGGUCUUGAAAGGUCAUUUAUCCCAUAUAAAUCAGAAGCAACAGGUUCAUGGCAAGCAAGUCAAGUCAUUAGAUUUAACAUUUCCAGAAGUUAUAUGUACUGACAAUUGUUCAACAUCACAGCACACUCAAGUUUUAAUGGUGUUAUACCAAAGUGACUCUUCACUCUAUUGCUUUAAUGCAUCUCCUGGAAUCACAUAAGCCAUCUAUCCACCCAUGGUCUCUCCUGUGACAGGCUGUUACAGGAAUAUGAGACACCAUGGCUUAUGGAGACAGACAGUGUGGGUUCUCACUUUCAAAGGCCCAAAUGACAUCCCUGAAGGAGGUGGGGACUAAGAAUGGCAGCUUACCUUGUCUUCUUCCCCAAGUCACAAUCUCUCUCUUCUUCCAUAAAACCUUUCCUAAUCUAACUCCAUUUGAUUUGCUCUGUUCACUCCUGAAUAUGAUCGUUUAAACCUUUAUUUAGCUUCUCCUAUUUGACUGCUCAUUCAUUAUUACUUGUCAUUUACUUUUUAUUUUACUAAUCCUGUGAAAGUAUUAUUCUUCUGUUUCCAAAAUGAUAACACUGAAGCUCAGUGAGAGUGAGCUUACCUAAGCUUGAAUAGUGAAUAGAGUUCAGGUCUGGGCUGGGCAGCAGAACUAUCUGUCUCCAAAAAUUCCCAAGACCACCUCCCUGCCUAUCCCAGUUUCUUCUUGUCUUGCUAACCAAAUGCUCUAACUGGUUUCACAUUUAUAGUGACUGAAAACUUGACCUUGUCUGUAGUUUUCCAUGGGCCUUUGUGCUCCUUUUCUUCUGCACUGGCUUCUGCUAUUUGUUACACUAAGGUCGAAAAAGACAGAACACACAUGGUUAGUGAUCCCUGCAAAGCCACUUUUGUAUAUUAGAAGGGACAGAAAACCUGUACUCUCAUAAUUUGAGGGCCAACCCAUGACUUCUUUUCUUACAUAUGUGGCCUUCCUUUGAUUGAGCUUUCUUUAUCUUUAAAAAGUGAGAGUUAUAAAGCCUGGCAUAAUGACACAUGGCAGGAGAAUUCUAGCACUUCUGAGGAGGCAAUGGCAAGAAGAGCAGGAGUUCAAGGCCAUCCUUGGCUACAUAGUAACCUUAGGACCAGCCUGGGCUACCGGAGCUGGUAUUUUAAAAGCACAACAGGUAUAAUCCUAGGUAAAGCACCACAAAAACAUUUCCAGUCAGCUUUCCAGUCCCCUCUCAGAGCAUAUUAUUCUCAGAAAUGGAUACGUCACAUAUACUGACUUCAGAGUCCUGGGAUAAUAGUGCCCCCCAAAAGUACUUUUAGUCCCAGCAAAGCAACCUCAGAGCAGCUUGGUGUUCUGGCCUGAGUUCCUGCUGGGUGGUAAGAGCCAAUCAGCAAAAGCCUAGAGCUGUUCCUCCCCUGAACAAUGGAAACGUGG